GGGAUUAUAAUUUAAUGGUAAAAUAUUUAUUUUGCAAGUAAAAAUUAAGAGUUCAAUUCUCUUUAAUUCCA
rnacentral:tRNA from 1 species